GUGAAGUAGCUGCACAGCAGCGGCAACUGGAAACCCUAAAGAAGCUCAUUCACUUGUCUGACUGUUUUGUGAGACGAGGGAAAGAGAGGGAGAGAAAACAGGAGUCUUCAAUCCAGUCAAAUCCAAUCCAAUCCAAUCCAUCGUCACCUUCAAUCUUAUUCUCCAGGUAUUACUCUUUAAUUUCACUUCUUACUGUUCUUUAUUUUUUUGGUGGGUUUUUGUAAUUCUUUUCCAUCUAUUCUUCGCUACUUUGAUUCAUCAUGUCCUUCUUUCGGGUCUUGAUUUUUCUCUCUACUUAGCUUGCUUCUUUAGAGGGUUAUCUGUCUUUCUUUCUUUCUUUCUGUUCUGCUAGUAGAAACUGAUAUUUCUAAUUUAUGCGCUUUGUUAAGUUUCUUAGUGAAUUCAAUUUGAUUAGAAGGAUCAAAGUACGAUUUGCUUUGAGAUCUUAUUAGAAAUUACUUUAUUUGCAGAUUUUGAAAUGUUCCAUGAGAAGGGUAUAUAUAACUAAUUUCAUUUAUGAAAGUCCUGAUAUAUAACUAGAUCUCUAGUUAAGUGAGAGUCAGAACUUAGGCUUAAUCUAGAGUCUGGAGCUUCCUGAUAUAUAACAAGAUCUCUAGUUAAGUGAGAGUCUGAACUUAGGCUGAAUCUAGAGUCUGGAGCUUCUAACUUUUGUAAUUGUCCUGGAUUCCUAGUCCCAAUUUAUAAAUACUACGCUUGGAAUCUUCUAUCCAACAGAUAUUUUAUAUUCAACAUUAUUACUACUACACUACUUUCAACAUUGGGAAGUAUACUGAUGGGAUUUGG
rnacentral:misc_RNA from 1 species